ACACAUUUAAGGGUUCCAACAUGGUGGAGCUGACAGUGGAGGGGUGUAAAUAUAACAGGGAUUUCUACAAGGAAUUUAUCAAAGGUAUUCAUGAAGAUUCCAUCACAGUUGUUUUUGAAAAUAAUUGACAACCAGAAUGCCAUGUUUCAUUUAACAAAAUUAAGUUACCACCUGAUAUAGAAAAAGAAAUUAGUAAAGGAGACGAAGUAGAGGUAUAUUCAAGAGCAAAUGACCAAGAACCAUGUAGAUGGUGGUUGGUUAAAGUUCAGAUGAUGAAAGGAGAAUUUUAUGUCAUUGAAUAUGCUGCUUGUGGUGCCACUUACAAUGAAAUCGUAACAUUUGAAUGACUUCAGCCUAUCAGCAUAAAACUGUCAAAAAAAUUCUUCAAGUGCACAGUUGAUGUUCUUGAGGAUCUGAGAGAGGCUUUUUGCUAAUGAAAAUGCACAUAAAGAUUUUUAAAAAGCAGUAGGAGCAUGCAGAAUUUUUUACCCUCUAGAAACCAUGCAGCUAACGAUACUGUCUGCCAGUGAAGCAACUGUGAAGAGAGUAAAUAUUCUAAGUGACAUGCAUUUGUGAAGUAUUCAUACAAAGUUGAUGCUAAUGUCCAGUUAUGAAGAGGCCAGUAAGCAUUUAGAAUGCACGGAACAACUUGCAGCAGCAUUUCAUGACAAAUUUGUUGUGAGAGAAGAUUUAAUGGGAC
rnacentral:lncRNA from 1 species